UACGAAGGGGGCUAGCGUUGUUCGGAAUUACUGGGCGUAAAGCGCACGUAGGCGGAUAUUUAAGUCAGGGGUGAAAUCCCAGAGCUCAACUCUGGAACUGCCUUUGAUACUGGGUAUCUCGAGUAUGGAAGAGGUGAGUGGAGUUCCGAGUGUAGAGGUGAAAUUCGUAGAUAUUCGGAGGAACACCAGUGGCGAAGGCGGCUCACUGGUCCAUUACUGACGCUGAGGUGCGAAAGCGUGGGGAGCAAACAGG
rnacentral:rRNA from 1 species